rnacentral:tRNA from 1 species
GGGAAAGAAGCAUAAAUGGUGAUGUGGUUGGCUUGAAACCAAUGCAUGGGGGUUCAAUUCCUUCCUUUCUCG